rnacentral:rRNA from 1 species
CGAACGGGUGCGUAACGCGUAUGCAACUUACCUUAUGCAGGGGGAUAGCCCGUGGAAACGCGGAUUAAUAUCCCAUAGAUCAGUAAUAUCGCAUGGUAUAACUGGUAAAACUCAGGUGGCAUAAGAUGGGCAUGCGUCUGAUUAGCUAGUUGGUAGGGUAACGGACUACCAAGGCGACGAUCAGUAGGGGUUCUGAGAGGAUUAACCCCCACACUGGUACUGAGACACGGACCAGACUCCUACGGGAGGCAGCAGUGAGGAAUAUUGGACAAAGGGCGCAAGCCUGAACCAGCCAACCAGCGUGAAGGACGAAGGCCCUACGGGUAGUAAACUACUUUACUGUUUGAAGAAUAAGCUCGUCGAGACGAGUGAUGCCGGUAGGACAGGAAUAAGAAUCGGCUAACUCCG